rnacentral:rRNA from 1 species
AGAGUUUGAUCCUGGCUCAGAAUCAACGCUGGCGGCGCGCUUAACACAUGCAAGUCGCACGAGAAAGUGGAGCAAUCCAUGAGUACAGUGGCGUACGGGUGAGUAACACGUGGAUCAUCUACCUCUUAGUGGGGAAUAACCCUGGGAAACCGGGGCUAAUACCGCAUAAGCUCGAGAGAGGAAAGCAGCAAUGCGCUGAGAGAGGAGUCCGCGGCCGAUUAGCUAGUUGGCAGGGUAAACGCCUACCAAGGCAAAGAUCGGUAGCCGGCCUGAGAGGGCACACGGCCACACUGGCACUGAAACACGGGCCAGACUCCUACGGGAGGCAGCAGUGGGGAAUCUUGCACAAUGGGGGAAACCCUGAUGCAGCGACGCCGCGUGAGCGAUGAAGCCCUUCGGGGUGUAAAGCUCUUUCGGCAGGGACGAUCAUGACGGUACCUGCAGAAGCAGCUGCGGCUAACUACGUGCCAGCAGCCGCGGUAAUACGUAGGCAGCGAGCGUUGUUCGGAGUUACUGGGCGUAAAGGGUGUGUAGGCGGUUGCUUAAGUUUGGUGUGAAAUCUCCCGGCUCAACUGGGAGGGUGCGCCGAAUACUGAGUGACUCGAGUGCGGGAGAGGAGAGUGGAAUUCCUGGUGUAGCGGUGAAAUGCGUAGAUAUCAGGAGGAACACCGGCGGUGUAGACGGCUCUCUGGACCGUAACUGACGCUGAGACACGAAAGCGUGGGUAGCAAACAGGAUUAGAUACCCUGAUAGUCCACGCCCUAAACGAUGCAUAUUUGGUGUGGGUCAUUCAGUUGAUCCGUGCCGGAGCUAACGCGUUAAUAUGCCGCCUGGGGAGUACAGUCGCAAGGCUGAACUCCAAAGGAAUUUGACGGGGGCCCCGCACAAGCGGGUGGAGCAUGUG